rnacentral:tRNA from 1 species
AGUGGGUUAGCUCAGUGAUUAGAGCUUAGGCCUCAUAACCGAAAGGUCGCGGAAUCGAAUCUCGGUAGAGACUG